rnacentral:rRNA from 1 species
UACGAAGGGGGCUAGCGUUGCUCGGAAUCACUGGGCGUAAAGCGCACGUAGGCGGACUCUUAAGUCGGGGGUGAAAUCCUGGAGCUCAACUCCAGAACUGCCUUCGAUACUGAGAGUCUUCGAGUUCGGGAGAGGUGAGUGGAACUGCGAGUGUAGAGGUGAAAUUCGUAGAUAUUCGCAAGAACACCAGUGGCGAAGGCGGCUCACUGGCCCGAUACUGACGCUGAGGUGCGAAAGCGUGGGGGGCAAACAGG